CAAAUCAAUUUUAAAAAAAAAAAAAAAAAAAAGCUUGAGUUUUUCAAGUAAAAAGCACAUUUUUUAAAGAAGAGUCAGACCUGCAUUCUUAUCCUCUGUAUAGGUCCAAGGUAGUAAUCUUCCACAUCUGGUUUAUUAACUGAGUUGCUCAGAUGGUUAUCUAUGGAGCUCAUGUAUAUCCAGGCAUGGAUGCGCUACUGAAAAAAAAGUUUAAGUUCCCAGGCUAGUUAGCAAGAAUAGAAUCAUUUCCUUAUGACUCAGCCUACUUGAUUUUAAAUAAUUUAGCAGCUUGACCACACUGAUCCCAUUUUACUUCUUCACUCUUCCUCAUUCCUUUCUACCACCUUCCUUAUUUGAACACAAAUCAGAACUGUAGUAGCUGGGAACUAAACAAUGUCCUAUUUUCUUAGCAUCAAGCCUCUCUAUCUCCUUAGCUUGAAGUAUAAAACAGGUUUGGGUUACAGAUUAU